rnacentral:rRNA from 1 species
UACAGAGAGUGCAAACGUUGUUCGGAAUUAUUGGGCUUAAAGCGCGCGUAGGCUGCAUCGUAAGUGUUUGGUGAAAUCCCACGGCUCACCCGUGGAACUGCCAGGCAUACUGCGGUGCUAGAGUGUGGUAGGGGAGAGCGGAACUCCUGGUGGAGCGGUGAAAUGCGUAGAUAUCAGGAGGAACACCGGUGGCGAAGGCGGCUCUCUGGUCCAUAACUGACGCUGAGGUGCGAAAGCUAGGGGAGCAAACGGG